UUAAUUGAAACCAAAAAGAGGUAUAUCACUGUUAAUGAUACCAUUGAGAUUCAUCUCCAAUUAAA
rnacentral:tRNA from 1 species